GGCCUGGUGGUGUAGGGGUUACACGCCCAUUAAUAAUGGAUGUGAGGAAAUUUGUCUUUGUGGGAAUCCCUUGUUCGAGUCAAGGCCAGGCCA